rnacentral:tRNA from 1 species
GCCUGGGUGGCUUAGUCGGUUAAGUGUCUGACUUCGGCUCAGGUCAUGAUCUGGCAGUCCGUGAGUUCAAGCCCUGCAUCAGGCU